rfam:Triticum aestivum genome assembly, contig: Triticum_aestivum_CS42_TGACv1_scaffold_436543_5DL
UUUCUACUCCCUUCGUUCGGAAUUACUUGUCCAAGAAAUGAAUGUAUCUAGAUGUAUUUUAGUUAUAGAUACAUUCAUUUUUAUAACAAGUAAUUCCGAGUGAAGGAAGUACUUC